rnacentral:lncRNA from 1 species
GCUGGGCCAGCAUGCGGAGCGGGUUUCUGCGCAGUGCCCGGCGCCUGUGGGCCCGCCGCGCCAUCAGCCGCAUGCCACCGCCUUCCGAGGAGCUCCUCGCCCGCGGCGGGCCCCUGCGAGCCUUCCUGGAGCGCCGCGUGGGCUCGGAGGCCGGCGGUCUGGACGCUGGGAGUCCCCAGCUUGCCGCGGCGGCCCGGCUGCUGAACGAGAAGGAGCGGGAGCUACGGGACACUGAAUCCUUGCUGCACGGUAAGCCAUCUGCUCCAAUGGGUUCGGAAGCCAUUUGUGUUACCGACCUUGUCACUGGGGUUCUGACAACCCUCCGUCGGGCUUUCUAGAGCUCCCUGGACACGGUGCUCUCUGCUCCGUCAGUCCUCGGAAGUAACUAAGGAUCUCCGUUGCCUACCCUCCCCUCCCCUCCUGGCAGCUCAGAUGUGCAGGAAAGACUUGGUAGUCCCAGCAGAGGAACUAAAGUCGGGUGAGUUUAUGGCAUUGACCUACUGCAAUGUGGGGAGCAGUGCACUAUAGUUAGGCACCGAGACCUGGAAAUUCGAGUUUCCCUCGAGAUUCCGUCCGAGGCCGAAGUGUCUGCGUUCCUGAAGCCUCCAGAGACCCAGUAGAACACACCUGGGAACGCUUGAUUCAGAGACCCUGCCCGGAUGAAGAAAGUGAGAAAAGGGAUUGGGGUUGGUUACUGAAAUUAACCGUGGGGCUCCAGGUUCCGAAAAUGGGAACAAAUAAUAAGUAAGGAGUUUUAAUUUCAAUAUAA